rnacentral:pre_miRNA from 1 species
UGUAUACUCCCUCCGUUCCAAAAUUCUUGUCGUAGAUUUGUUUAGAUAUGAAUGUAUCCAGUCAUGUUUCAGUAUUUUGAUACAUCCAUUUCUAGACAAACCUAAGACAAGAAUUUUGAUUUUGAUACAUUCAUUUUUAGACAAACCUAAGACAAGAAUUUUGGAACGGAGUGAGUAGUUA